AAACUGUAUAACAAUGCUGGAGGUUGUCUUUCUUUGGCUUCUGUCAUUUUUCUGGGGUGGGGGUUCCUAUCUGAUUACUUCUUCUGGGGUUGAAUGAGGAAUGAGAUAGAGAGCAGUGCAGACUAUGGCUACGCGUACAAGGGCAGCUCUCAGAACAAGAAAGGAGGAUCCAAAAAUGUCAUCUAAGAACACACUUUCAAAUUUUCAGCCAUUGACUCAUGAACUCCAAUAGACUUCCUGCUGCAUCAGCUGAGCUGUAGGAUGGAAAAGUUGGUCUUUGAAACUGCAGAAAAUGUUAGUGCCAGAAGAGCAUCAGCAGAAGAGGGGACUGACAGCAGCAGAGGAACCCCUGAGCAGUGAUGGACUGAAGUGUCGUGAAAGACCUGUGCAAUGGAGUCAGGGGCAACCCUGAUGGAGAUUAGGGGUUGGUCAGAGAGGGAGAACUGAAAUUGAUAGAUCAGAGAGAAAAGAGUUUUUAUCCAGAACAAGAUUUAAUGGUGGCCAUCGUGGUGAGUGAAGGAGCUUUCUAGGGCUGAAGAUCAACUGCAGAGGGGAGGAUGAGGAAAUGAGGCUGAGGCAGCAACUAAUGGGUCAGAAGAGACAUCAAUGUGGAAGAUUAAAUCAAAUGGUGUGAAAGAGGAAGACUGUGAGUAGAGUCAGAAGGAAACCUAGGAAUCAUAGAGGAACAUGGAAUGGUCAAGAGCCGGGCAGUUCCUGAAUGCUCUUCCAGCUCCAGCAGCAGCUGCUCUUCCCACCCUCCUGGCGACAGAACGGAAGCCAAUUGUGGACAGUUACUCAAGUACCUGGACUUUUAGUGUCUGUCAGUAGUACUGACCGGACAUUGUGGCUCCCGUCCACUCACGCCCCUUCUCUGCCUACGCUACAUUGAUGACAUCUUCAUCAUCUGGACCCAUGGGAAGGAGACUCUG